UCGAGGACAUUGUGGCUCACCAGAGGCCAGUGUGGUUCAGAGAAGGUUUGGAAACGUCUGAAACCUCUAACCACAGGAGCAGCCGGCCACCCAAGCCGACACAGUGUGGGUGAGAGCCAAUAUCAGCAAUGAUGAUGAUGAUGAUGAUGCCACCCACCGCUGUGCCACAGAGAGGAAGGACGGUGUCCAGUGACCAGAACAGAGAUCUGAUAGCUGCGGCUCUGAUUCUACAGCACCGGACCCCCAUUAGCAGAUAAUCUGUUUCUCUCCAGCAUGUGAAUCGUGUAGUGAGGUCCAGGGGUCGGCGAUGUUGAUCGUGUCUGGUCCGUGUGAGUCCAACUCUCGGCUGGAUACAGACAGUGACGGCCCAUACGCUUCAUCUGUGAUUACAGGACUUUUCCAUCUCACGGAUCUGCCAGCAACUCCCACAGUAUUGAUCCUCUAAUAAAAGUCAACAUAGAGAGCAGAAAGAUGCUGAAUAAAAUUACUGCCAUCUCUUUCUUA